GUUUCUCAUUGUUUCUCAAUUAAGAGAGUUUUGAUAAGACAGAUAAUGAAAAAACAUUGUGGUAUUUCAUCUAGGCUGGCGAGCCGCGAUCAGAUCACUCGAAGUCGAGUUCUCAGCCACCAAAGCCUCUCCUAGCAGAGGUGAAAGAUAAGACCGGUAAAAAUCUUCUCUCAAUGAUGGAACAAACCACAACCGCCAAUAGACAUUUCAAUGGUUCACAAGGGUGUUGAUUGAUCCCGCGCCGUCAAGGCUGGCGAACCAGCAUAUUCUGACGCGGUCACAAAAAUUGUUAAUGAUCCAACCGCAGGUUCACCUACGGUUA
rnacentral:misc_RNA from 1 species